GACGAACGCUGGCGGCGUGCUUAACACAUGCAAGUCGAACGGAAAGGCCCCUUUGGGGGUACUCGAGUGGCGAACGGGUGAGUAACACGUGAGUAACCUGCCCUUGCCUUCGGGAUAACUUCAGGAAACUGGGGCUAAUACCGGAUAGGAAUCCUUGCUGCAUGGUGGGGGUUGGAAAGCUUCGGCGGUUUUGGAUGGACUCGCGGCUUAUCAGCUUGUUGGUGGGGUAGUGGCUUACCAAGGCUUUGACGGGUAGCCGGCCUGAGAGGGCGACCGGCCACAUUGGGACUGAGAUACGGCCCAGACGCCGACGGGAGGCAGCAGUGGGGAAGAUUGAACAAGGGGCGGAAGCCGGAUGCAGCAACGCCGCGGGCGGGAUGACGGCCUUCGGGUUGGAAACCGCGUUCAGCAGGGGCGAAGCUUGUGGUGACGGUACCUGCAGAAGAAGCACCGGCUAACUACGUG
rnacentral:rRNA from 1 species